rnacentral:rRNA from 1 species
UAGGGAAUCUUCCGCAAUGGACGCAAGUCUGACGGAGCAACGCCGCGUGAGUGAAGAAGGAUUUCGGUUCGUAAAACUCUGUUGUUAGAGAAGAACAGCGCAUAGAGUAACUGUUAUGCGUGUGACGGUAUCUAACCAGAAAGCCACGGCUAACUACGUGCCAGCAGCCGCGGUAAUACGUAGGUGGCAAGCGUUGUCCGGAUUUAUUGGGCGUAAAGCGAGCGCAGGCGGUCAAUUAAGUCUGAUGUGAAAGCCCCCGGCUCAACCGGGGAGGGUCAUUGGAAACUGGUUGACUUGAGUGCAGAAGAGGAGAGAGGAAGUCCAUGUGUAGCGGUGAAAUGCGUAGAUAUAUGGAGGAACACCAGUGGCGAAGGCGACUCUCUGGUCUGUAACUGACGCUGAGGUUCGAAAGCGUGGGUAGCAAACAGG